rnacentral:rRNA from 1 species
AGAAUCAACGCUGGCGGCGUGCCUAACACAUGCAAGUCGAACGAGAAAGUGGAGCAAUCCAUGAGUACAGUGGCGCACGGGUGAGUAACACGUGACUAACCUACCCUUGAGUGGGGAAUAAACCUGGAGAAAUCUAGGCUAAUACCGCAUAACACCUACGGGUCAAAGGAGCAAUUCGCUUAAGGAGGGGGUCGCGGCAGAUUAGCUAGUUGGCGGGGUAAUGGCCCACCAAGGCAGUGAUCUGUAUCCGGCCUGAGAGGGCGCACGGACACACUGGAACUGAAACACGGUCCAGACUCCUACGGGAGGCAGCAGUGGGGAAUUUUGCGCAAUGGGGGAAACCCUGACGCAGCAACGCCGCGUGGAGGAUGAAGUCCCUUGGGACGUAAACUCCUUUCGACCGGGAAGAUAAUGACGGUACCGGAAGAAGAAGCCCGGCUAACUUCGCGCCAGCAGCCGC